GCUGCCCGUCGCUCAGAGCACCGUGUUUGGAUGGACCGUCUCCGGAGUAUGCCACGAGGAGUAAUCCUGACUCUUGCUGCCGCAAGGGGGGGGAGAAUGUUCGCGCCAUAAGGGCGCUUAGUUUCGAGCGGCAGUGUAAGAGCGAGCGCUGCACUGGCGCUUGCACUCCCGCGUGCACUCCCGCUCUCCGGUGCUCUCCCGCUCCCGGCGAAACCCACCACUCCGCGGUCCAGUUUGGGUUCCUCUUUAGUUUUAACUUAGUUUAACUUAAUCUAAAAUCUGAAGUGAGCCAAUAAAGUGCCAUCCCAUCGUGAAGUCGA